GUGGGGAAUAUUGGGCAAUGGGCGCAAGCCUGACCCAGCAACGCCGCGUGAAGGAAGAAGGUCUUCGGAUUGUAAACUUUUGUCUUAUGGGACGAUAAUGACGGUACCAUAGGAGGAAGCCACGACUAACUACGUGCCAGCAGUCGCGGUAAUACGUAGGUGGCAAGCGUUAUCCGGAAUUAUUGGGUGUAAAGGGUGCGUAGGCGGGAUGUAAAGUCAGAUGUGAAAUGCCGCAGCUUAACUGCGGAGCUGCAUUUGAAACUUACGUUCUUGAGUGAAGUAGAGGUAAGCGGAAUUCCUAGUGUAGCGGUGAAAUGCGUAGAUAUUAGGAGGAACACCGGUGGCGAAGGCGGCUUACUGGGCUUAAACUGACGCUGAGGCACGAAAGUGUGGGGAGCAAACAGGA
rnacentral:rRNA from 1 species